rnacentral:rRNA from 1 species
GACGAACGCUGGCGGCGUGCCUAAUACAUGCAAGUUGAGCGCUGAAGGUUGGUACUUGUACCAACUGGAUGAGCAGCGAACGGGUGAGUAACGCGUGGGGAAUCUGCCUUUGAGCGGGGGACAACAUUUGGAAACGAAUGCUAAUACCGCAUAAAAACUUUAAACACAAGUUUUAAGUUUGAAAGAUGCAAUUGCAUCACUUAAAGAUGAUCCCGCGUUGUAUUAGCUAGUUGGUGAGGUAAAGGCUCACCAAGGCGAUGAUACAUAGCCGACCUGAGAGGGUGAUCGGCCACAUUGGGACUGAGACACGGCCCAAACUCCUACGGGAGGCAGCAGUAGGGAAUCUUCGGCAAUGGACGAAAGUCUGACCGAGCAACGCCGCGUGAGUGAAGAAGGUUUUCGGAUCGUAAAACUCUGUUGGUAGAGAAGAACGUUGGUGAGAGUGGAAAGCUCAUCAAGUGACGGUAACUACCCAGAAAGGGACGGCUAACUACGUG